CUCUGCAAAAGGAGAAAAUAGGAGGAAGACCAUUUUUCUCCCAUUUUCUUCAUCUCCACUCCAUUUCUUCAAGUUAAAUCAAAAGGGAGUGUUCUUAGGAGGAUUAUAUCCAAUAAAACAAAUCAAGUAACCAUACUUAAAGAGUUAUAAAGCUUGGGAAAAACAAAGAGUAGGAGUUGGAACUUGAAAAAGGAGGACAUGAGUUUUGUAGAUUUUUGCAAAAAUUCAUUGAAAUAAGUUAAGGUAGCAAAGGGCAGGAAUUUCGACAGCCAUAUCUUGGCUUUCCACCAUUGGAUUAGGUUGCAUUUUGGAUAUGUUAUGCUCAAUGUCAACUACAUUCUGACCCGAGAGAUUGUCAAUAAAAGACUUCGUUUGAGGGUUGUUGCUGGAGGAACAUAUUUGGAAAAUCACCCUUCAAGACAGCUUCGCUCGUCGGCCAUUAUAUUCUCAUUUCACCAUUGGAUUGGUCUGGCUUUUGGAUAUGUUGUUUGUCCAAAUGUUGUAUAAAUUCUGAACGGUUAAGAUCAGAAACAAACACUCCUACCAGAAAUUGUACCUCUUGAACUGUAGGUCUCCAAUUUCCAGGUCAGUUCAAUAUUGUUCUGAUAUAGGGAGAUUUAACUGUUGGAUGUAUGUUAAUUUUGGAUAUGUUAUUCUAAUGAUGAGGAUGUAUAAUUCAACCGUUUGGAUUUAUUGCAUUCUAAAUUUAAAGAAUUAUGUUUUAAAUUUGGUUUGAGAAAUAUUAAAUGAGAAUAUGAUGUUUAGCAUAAAAAGUAUGUUUUGGGACUAAGGAUAA